rnacentral:rRNA from 3 species
GAAACCGCGAAAGGCUCAUUAAAUCAGUUAUGGUUCCUUAGAUCGUACCCACAAUUACUUGGAUAACUGUGGUAAUUCUAGAGCUAAUACAUGCAAACAGAGCUCCGACCGGAGACGGAAGGAGUGCUUUUAUUAGAUCAAAACCAAUCGGUGGCGGGUUCGCCCGUUAUCGUACAACUUGGUGACUCUGAAUAACUUUACGCUGAUCGCACGGUCAUCGCACCGGCGACGCAUCUUUCAAAUGUCUGCCUUAUCAACUGUCGAUGGUAGGUUCUGCGCCUACCAUGGUUGUAACGGGUAACGGGGAAUCAGGGUUCGAUUCCGGAGAGGGAGCCUGAGAAACGGCUACCACAUCCAAGGAAGGCAGCAGGCGCGCAAAUUACCCACUCCCGGCACGGGGAGGUAGUGACGAAAAAUAACGAUACGGGACUCAUCCGAGGCCCCGUAAUCGGAAUGAGUACACUCUAAACCCUUUAACGAGGAUCAAUUGGAGGGCAAGUCUGGUGCC